CAAACACAGCCCUGGGGCCUCUCGGCUCCGCUGCGGUGCUGUGGCCCCAAACCACACCCUUUGUGCUUCCACAGGUUUUGAGAAGUGUUUGAUCAGAGAAGAACGUGCCGGUCCCGGGGGAGCUGUGGAGACGGAGCAGAGGCCUCACAAUUCAUGAGUCAUACCCAGGCAUUACUAGCAACGAUCCCACACUGAUCCUUGCCUUACCAGCUCUUACACAGAGAUCAAGGAGCCUCUGGGGACACCAAGAGAGGCACACACAGUGGUACGUGACUUCCACCUCCAUGUCAGCAAGCAGGACCUCAAUGCCUCCGCGGGAAGCAUCUGCUGCCCACACAGCCAGGGGGUGUUGGUUGAGUCCCUGCCUUGUACCAGGCGCUGUUUCCUGCCCUGGAAGCACAGCCUUGAAUAAAACAACCAAACCCCAG
rnacentral:lncRNA from 1 species